rnacentral:lncRNA from 1 species
CCCUGGAAAGCAGUCACAGGAAAACUGGAGUUGGAUUCAAUAAAGUCUCAAUCUUUCCUGUCCUACAAGAUUGAGGAUGUCAGAGAUGUCUUUCACUAAGUUGUGACUGAAUAAAAAUUUCUAAGAAAUGAGGGAGAGUAACUAGUUAAAGGAACCAUGAAGGAAAAGGACCCCCGUAUCCCAGACACAUCCCAGAGUCAAUAAGCAUCUGACAUUUAGAAAACAAGCACUCCACAGAGAAGAAACUGCCAGGAGGAGGAGGGAAGAAAGAUUUAUUCACCUCGGGGUGCAUGAGAAUCUUUGCCCUGUUAACUUCUGGUUCUUUGGUCUGUCUGUCUGAAGAGGAAAUCCAGCUACUGCUUGAGCCAAUGAUUCUGAACCUCGGCUCCCACAAAAGCAUACUGAUACUCCUUGCCAGGUCUGCUAACAUUAAUUCAAAACGUAAGUCGUAAUGUGUAAUGGGGACACAAUUCUGAAAACAAUUUCAUCUGGAAGUUUUGUCACUGGUUGAAGAUUGCCUGAAAGGAAUGCAGUUCUUCCAAGACUUUCUAGGGACCUCAGAGUCCUUGGCUUCAGUCAGACCACCAGCAAGCUCCUGUUUGAAGGACUGUGGUCUGCUCCCAUACAUGAGUUCUUCCAGGGCUCUCUUUUAAUGAAAUAAGAAACUGCUCUGGGAAUAGCAUUAAGGUAUUUACCGUGGAGAAGAUAUUCGCAAUGCAGUUUCCUUGAUGUUGUUAAUUUAUAUUGGUUUUGUACUUACUGAUUAGGUUACUUUAGCUUAGUGAUCUUCUGAAUUGUGUGAUCCAUUUUCUUUUACUCUUGCUGAUUAAUAGAAAACACAGAGUUAAAAUCACGGCCCAAUUCCAACAAGCACACAGCAGCUCUUGGCAAGCAAGUUAUGACUCCCUGUUUAUUUUCUUUUUCUCA